GAUGAGAACGUAGCGAAAUGCGAUAAGUAAUGUGAAUUGCAGAAUUCAGUGAAUCAUCGAAUCUUUGAACGCACAUUGCGCCCCUUGGUAUUCCGAGGGGCAUGCCUGUUCGAGCGUCAUUAUAACCCCUCAAGCUUAGCUUGGUGUUGGGGCCUGCUGUAAUAGAGCAGCCCUUAAAAUCAGUGGCGGUGCCAUUAGGCUCUAAGCGUAGUAAUUCUUCUCGCUAUAGGGUUCUGGUGGAUGCUUGCCAUUAACCUCUAAUUUUCUAUGGUUGACCUCGGAUCAGGUAGGGAUACCCGCUGAACUUAAGCAUAUCAAUAAGCGGAGGA
rnacentral:misc_RNA from 1 species